CCUACGGGUGGCAGCAGUGGGGAAUAUUGGACAAUGGGCGAAAGCCUGAUCCAGCCAUGCCGCGUGUGUGAAGAAGGCCUUCGGGUUGUAAAGCACUUUCAGUGGGGAAGAAAGCCUUGGGGCUAAUACCCUCGAGGAAGGACAUCACCCACAGAAGAAGCACCGGCUAACUCCGUGCCAGCAGCCGCGGUAAUACGGAGGGUGCGAGCGUUAAUCGGAAUUACUGAGCGUAAAGCGCGCGUAGGCGGUCUGAUAAGCCGGUUGUGAAAGCCCCGGGCUCAACCUGGGAACGGCAUCCGGAACUGUCAGGCUAGAGUGCAGGAGAGGAAGGUAGAAUUCCCGGUGUAGCGGUGAAAUGCGUAGAGAUCGGGAGGAAUACCAGUGGCGAAGGCGGUCUUCUGGACUGACACUGACGCUGAGGUGCGAAAGCGUGGGUAGCAAACAGGAUUAGAUACCCCAGUAGUC
rnacentral:rRNA from 1 species